CUCUAUAAAUCGAGAAAUUGUAAGAUAAAAUUUGUGAAAUUUUCAACUUACAACUCCUUUAUCUGGAGAAUGUCCUCUAUCCAACCAGACCCCUCUUAACCCUGAAAUCGUGGGAUAGUUUACUAAAGUUUCCCCAAAAAAAUAAAUAAACAGUCAAUAAGGAAGUGUUCAAAACUAAAGUAACAAAUCACUUUAAAUACACAGGGCGCAAAGAUCUUCAGAAAUAACGGUACAAUUGUUGUUUUAUGGACGUAAAAAACGAUGUAGAUUAAAUUGAUUAGCAGCUAAUUUUGUACAUUAGAGGCUUUUGGUACUUGCUUACAAAAAAACAUAUGGAAAAUAAUUGCUACUGGCUAAAAUGUCAAAUAUCAAUUAGAGCUUUAACAAAAGUUUCCGAUAUUUGUUUUCUAGACUAAAUUUUGCCACCACAUUGCAAUUGGUCAUACAUAAAUGGAAUACAGGUUUAUUUAACGAUGAAUUUAAAUUUAAUACGAUUAAUUCUGAUGGAAUGUGUACAGUCCGCCGUCAUAAGUGUAAACGUCUUGAUUCACGGAAUUCAAGAGUGUUGAUCCUUUUAAAAAAAUAAAUGGUACAAUGGACCACUUUUUGUAUAAAGAUAUUUAAGAAGCGAAAAUGAUACCAUAUGCUGAAUGGAAUAUGCCUCUUCGAUUGGUCUUUCAACACGAUAACGAGAGAUUACAAGAAUGAAAUAUUAAGCCAUCACAUUUUUGUAAAACUUUUUUUAAGAAAAUAUAUUAAAAGUUUGGGUUAAAAUAAGUUUGUUGCUUUUGUUUUGCACAGUACUGUAUAUAUAUAUUCUAUAAAAAUUAGUAUCAUACAGUGAGAAUCAGUAUUCACUUAUGUUUGGAUCUCUUUAUCUCUUUAAUAGAAUGUGGUACUUUAUUAUUUUCAUUUUCUGGAAUUUCAUUAUAAAUGUUAUAGACUUGAUGCAGUGACUUUUAUAAAAUAUUAUUAAUUCUAAAAAUAUAUAAUAUACAUAAAGCAAUAAAAAUAAAUAAUUUUAUUAAAAAAAUAUAACAUUUACCUUUUGCAAUUUGACGAGUCAAUGUUUUUGACUUCAACAUUUCUGUCUCCUAUUUUCUCGUAUUUUGUGUUAUCAAUAGAUUCACCCAAUGUCAAUUACUAUAGACCGCUCGAAAACAAAGAAUGAAUCCGGUUAGGCUCUUAUUAUAUACGAUAAAGUUUUUUAUUGAGUUUCAAGUUCAUUUUUUCUUCUACACUUUCGACCACUAUUCGAGGUACGAUUAAAGUCUAUGAUUGUAAUAAAUACUGCCCACUAAUCUUCAGCAUCAAGUUAAAUAAUUACAUAUACAAACAGAUUUGUAUUCACUAACUACUUCUUUUUAAACAGCUGCCGAGAGAUUAUGUUCUAUAUAUACACGCUAUGUGUAAACGUACAUACAUAUGCAUAUAAAGUAUGCCUCUUUCAUAUAUUAUAUAUAUUUACUGGAUUUAUUAUUACGGAAAGCUUUUUAAAUUUCUUAAUUUCAAUGCAAAAAUGUUGCAGUCUUUUGGUGCCUAUCUAAGGGUAUAUUAUAUUUGAAAAUAUAAACACGAAUAUGAUGAAUGCAUAUUAAUGUUUACUUUCAAUUCAUUACACCGGUUAGCUUAGAAACUUAAACUCACUUUGACUUAUUCGACAUCACUGAUUUUACAAUACUCUAGUUUAUGCUACAUAUGUUUUAUUUAACUAAGUCAACUGUUGGACACGCUACACUUCUAAGUAUUAGUAGCAAAGAUAAUUAAUAGUCGAGUCUUCCAAUUCAUUGAUAAAAAGGGGCAUAUAUUUGUUAAACUAAAUUUACAAUUGUAUGAUUUGCUUCUUCUUUCCACACAUUGCGAUCACAAUAAUAUUAUGUUUUCACAAUUCGGAAUUUAAAUUCUGAUCAUAACAUAUUGUCCCCUAAAAUGUUAAAUGCAUAACAUUAUCUUCCAUAAGUUUACAAAGGGAAAGCACGAUAAAAAAAAAAAAAA